rnacentral:lncRNA from 1 species
CCGAGGACCCGACGGAGCUACACCCGCUAGUUCAGCCAGGAGGCCCUGCGCGGCUCCGGGGAGAGCUGGGUGGUUAUGCCACCUCAUUAGACACAUUGGUGGACGAUGCCGCGGAUUAGCGGGUUGGCUCUCAGGGCGGGGCGCAGGCUUUCUCACUGAUCCGGGAGCGUGGGAGCAGGGGCAACGCGGGGCCAUCCGGGAGCUGCCCGCCUGCUUCGCAGUUGGCUUUCCGGGCCCUCGAGCAACGUCUGACUUUGCCCUUUGUUUUUAAACACCAUGCAGGAUGGUUUGUGUACAAACGAAGCCGUGUCACUUCUCAAGUGUCGGUGCUCAACGUGGCAACGCCCCUCCCGCCCCCAGUACAGAGAUCCUGCCCAUCCACCGACAAUCCCCCUCCUCAUCUUCCUUCCCCCAGGUGCGAGUGAUUCAAGGAAAUCCGACUGGAGGGAACACACGCUGCGAUGCACCCUCUCCUCUUCCAUUGAGCCAGGGGUGACCUUGAGAGACUCAGGCCACCUCACCAGGCUCUACCAGGAACAGCGUCUACAGCUGGUAGAGAGCACGGGCUGCAGAGAGAAAUCAAUACAGAACUCUGGAACCCACUGCUUUAGAAGAUAAGAAUCUCUUUCCUGCUCCGAUCAUUCUGGCUUGCCUUGGAUUUAAGGCUCUUCCAGAAGGACCUGGCCCUGAUUCACUGGGAUAAUGUCCACCAUGUCCAGGGGCACUGCCCAGAGGGGGUACUUUUCAUAUUCUCUACCAACUAAUCUUCCACCUGCCAGCCUAGGGGGCAGUGAGUGGAGAACGCUGGGAAUUCAGGGUUGGGGAGGAGGGACAGCAACAGGAAAAGAUUGAACAUAUGUGCCAAUUAGGCCAGGAGAUGAGGACCCCAGACCCGGAAGAAGGAGGAAGAAGAAAGACACACUUGAUCUUCCUGCUUAGAAUGUUGGCAGAAGUCAUAUUCAAAAGAUAAGAGAAUCAAGACUUAUGAAACAAAAGAAAACCAAAGAAAGGCAACACGGCCGAUGCUAGGUGGGGAUUACUAGCUAGUAAAGAGCUGUCGAGUGUUUGAUGCCAUUUAUUCAUUUGAGCUCUCCAGUUGCCUAGUUUUUCAUUCAACAAGUGUCGUCUGAAGGUGUUGUGUGGACAGAACGUUGUGUGGGAUCCAAAGCUGAAACAGAUACUUAAGUCUGUGCUCUAGUAAAUAAGAUAGGACACGCAUAUUUACCCCACAGGGAGCAAUAAAUACUCUAAGACCAUUACAAAUUGUUCUGGGAGUUCAGAGGAGGGAAUUUAUUUCUAGUCCAGAGCAAUGAAGGGUGACCUCCUGGAGGAAGUGGCAGUUGAAUGGGGGCCUUGAAGGAUGGGUGAGAUUUAAACAUGCAAACUAUCAGCAAGGGAAACGGGAGAGCAACGCAGGAGCAAACAUCAAGAUGGGAAAACACAAAGCAUGUAGGGGAAACACAAAUGCAAUAUUUUGUAUUAUGGGCGAGGCUCUACAAGAGGCACUGGAUUGCAAUGGGACUAUUGUUUCCAGGGGCCCUCUGGGCUGGUGGUCAAACUACUGGAACUAUCACUAUUUCAGACCAAGCCGGGCUCACAAGUCUUAGCUGUUCUUGCCAAUUCUUCUCCUGAAUACUCACUCCAAUAAGAGCAGUCAGGAAAUGUUUCUUGGGAAAUAGCUUCAAAGACACCAACAUACCACUAUGAACACUUAAAAUAUGGAGACAGAGCAUUUGGAGUACUGCUCCCAGCAUGUUGGAGGGAAAAGAAGCAAGACCCUUCCCAGAGGUAAAUCCUGUUGUUUUCUUCCCAGUGCUUGGGCAUCCAAUCCCACAUUCAUCCUUUUCCUCUAACUUAUCUUUUCAUGACUUUGGAAAGCAGUCUUCCUUAUCUAAGAAACAAAUGGCCUCCCCGGAGAGCUCAAAACAGCAAAGUCAUUUAUCUGUUUGACAUGUGUUUGCCUGUUUGUUUUCUCCAGCCUUGAGACAAGAGUUGUGUCAACUGUGGAUGGCUGUGCCCCAGUCACUUGAGAGACAUGAAUCAAUUUCCAGCUGCAUUUAUCACUUGCUGCCUUAAAUCAAGUCUAAUCAAUGCUUCCUUCAUUUGGUAUGGAUUGAAACUAUAUAUAACACACUCAGAAAACAGGAGAGAAAAGCAGCAGAUCACAAAAAUUCCAUCAGGGAUUUAGAUGGAAUGAUGUUAGAGAAACAUUUGCAAUCUUUCAUUUGCUCUAAUGGAGACCCCUGACCAAACAAUCAGAGAUUUGCGUUUAUGAAGCUUCAUUUGAAUUUACCUGACAUGCAAUGACAUUCCAUGACAGGUCAUUUGAUACAUUGGGGGGGGGGGGUGGUUUCUGCAUCUUUAAGGAUUUUAUAAUUAAUACACUCUUAGGAUCUGAUGUAUAUUUAUAAUUUUAUUCCUAUACUAAGUUUUAAACUCAUUUCCAUUUAUUUUAGAGAUAUCUGUUUUGUCAUCAUUGACUAUAUAAGUCAAUUUCCAGUUAUAACAUAUAAAGUAAUAAAAAUCCCUUUGUAACAAAGUAGA